GGCCUAGUAGCGUAAUGGCUAACGCAUCACAUUUCGGUUUCGUAUACGGUACUGUGAAGAUUGCAGGUUCGAAUCCUGUCUGGGUCG
rfam:Pseudomassariella vexata strain CBS 129021 BCR38scaffold_2, whole genome shotgun sequence.